rnacentral:piRNA from 1 species
UGGUCCUCCCUACACACUUCUAAGGAAGCU